GAUUGAUCACAUAACCUGACCUCUCUGGGCCUCAGCUGGAGCCCACUGCAAGGGGACUCAGUGUGCUUCCCGGCUUUUGGGACACAUGUGCGUUUCUUUGCUAAGCAGGUUGGAUUUUCUGGCAAAUCUCACAAGGGUUGCAGAGGAAAAAGUGUUUAUUUUGGUAGCGUGCACGAAGUUCCAGCUAUUCUAAAAAGCCGAGAUUUCGCAGCUAAGCUUUCCUGUUCCCAGCAGAGAAGGAGGUGAGAUGCUCAAAGAAUCUCUGUUCUUAUUUCAAUGCCGUGCUUGCCAGCCAAAUUUUCCAAAGAGACCAUUUUGCUGACAGAGAAGGGGCUAAGGAAGAAGGAAAUGCUGGAGAACGCUUAUUGCGCCCAACUCUCUUCCAUUUUAUCUUUCUGUUCCAUAUGUUUUCUCCGUAAUGAGACGAAUUAUUUAUCAUUAAAGUGAUAUAUAAUUUAGAAAUUUAAACUUAAAAUUAAUGGACGCUUAAAUUAAUUUACUGACAAAAAUAAAUGUCCGUCCUUCAGAUCCUAUAAUUUUAAUUGGAAUGGGCUAUGGCUUAAUUAACAUGUAUCGAUUGUAGUCCUGCUGCAUCUCUAGGUGGGUGGACUGUGUGGAAAUGCAGAGAGAAAGCCUUCUCGCAGAUGAAGGUGCAUUCAGAUUUGCUGAUAGCGCUCUGAAUAAUUACCUUGUGAAGAGACAGCGCAAUCUUUGGUCUCCAAGCUGUUUUCUGGGCAGAAAGCUUAAAUAUAUGUGUUGUUUAAAAUUCGGACUAAAAAUUGGCACGGCCGCUUUAUAGAUGGGAAGAAAAUAUCUGCUCCAAAAUUGUUAAUGAUCUGAAUCAUUAAUUAAUGAGAUGCAUGAAGAACACACAAAAUUGGAGGGAAGUUAUAAAGAAGCUGACUCAAAUAGAAGCUUUUGGUGAGGAAAAAGGUGGGUUUUCCCAUUGCCUUGUGGGUUAUGGAUGGGAAUGGGAGUGUGAUGUGCAGGGCUGCUGACCAUCAUGGAGCCUGAGCCUGCCUUGGGCUCACUGUACAGCCUGU
ensembl:lncRNA